rnacentral:tRNA from 1 species
GGGGUGGUGGAAUUGGCAGACACACAGGACUUAAAAUCCUGCGGUAGGUGACUACCGUGCCGGUUCAAGUCCGCGCCGUCCCUC